UGCAUGAUGUGGACCUGAGAAAAGGUGAGUGUCUUGUAAGGCCAGGUCACAAGAGCAGACUAUUAGAAGUACCAGGCAUCUGUCUAAUUAUAAGGCUUCACCUAACAAAUGUGUAUUUUCCCCUUUAAGCAGAGCUGGAGAAAUCUGGACGGCCUUACUAGGACCAGCUGGAAUGCCCCCUUAUAAGACACAGCUGGGAUCCUUAAUUGCUGGAGAAGUCAGCUCCCUUUCAGACAGUUCGAACGGGGCCUGACAGUUCCCAGUUUAACUUAGGGCUUCAGAAAAAUUUGGGGGGGUGCGGGCUCUCUCCACCCUGAAGGCUAUCAGGUGAUAGGCAACUGGUUCGAGCCUCACAGGCCUGGAGGAUUCCAACAGCCAAAAGCUGGCAGACGGUGUGGAAUGUACAUUACAGCUGGCAGGUCAUAAUUGCCAGCAUCCUGGAACAGAGCAUAUCAAGUAGAGCUGGAUGUUUUCAACUGCCUUGCCCGGGUGGGGACCUGCCAGCAAGACAGCUUACCUUUCAUUUGGAGACACCUUGAAGUCCUGGUCCCUAGAGAAGCCCAGGACCCCAUCAGGCAGAGGCGGAGCUGUAAGUUUUUCAACUGCAUUGCCAUGGAACAGCCAUGCCAGCAGGACGGGGAUCCUCCUUUGAGAGACACCUGGGAGUCCUGAUCCUAGAGAAGCCCUGAAUCCAACAGGCAGGAAGUUCACAUGGGGACUGUCACCCAUUUGCAGCUUUCUGAUUAAAGCAGUU